rnacentral:rRNA from 1 species
GACGAACGCUGGCGGCGUGCUUAACACAUGCAAGUCGAACGGAAAUGCCCUGCUUUUGUGGGGUGCUCGAGUGGCGAACGGGUGAGUAACACGUGAGUAACCUGCCCUUGACUUUGGGAUAACUUCAGGAAACUGGGGCUAAUACCGGAUAGGAGCUCCUGCUGCAUGGUGGGGGUUGGAAAGUUUCGGCGGUUGGGGAUGGACUCGCGGCUUAUCAGCUUGUUGGUGGGGUAGUGGCUUACCAAGGCUUUGACGGGUAGCCGGCCUGGGAGGGUGACCGGCCACAUUGGGACUGAGAUACGGCCAGACUCCUACGGGAGGCAGCAGUGGGGAAUAUUGCACAAUGGGCGGAAGCCUGAUGCAGCAACGCCGCGUGUGGGAUGACGGCCUUCGGGUUGUAAACCGCUUUCGCCUGUGACGAAGCGUGAGUGACGGUAAUGGGUAAAGAAGCACCGGCUAACUACGUG